rnacentral:rRNA from 1 species
GGGGAUUGCCCUAGUAACGGCGAGUGAAGCGGCAACAGCUCAAAUUUGAAAUUUGGCCUCGCGGUCCGAGUUGUAAUUUGUAGAAGGUGCUUCCGGUGCGAUCGCGGUGCAAGUCCCUUGGAACAGGGCGUCCCAGAGGGUGAGAAUCCCGUACGCGGCCGACGAUCAAUCCCAUGUGUAGCCCUUUCGACGAGUCGAGUUGUUUGGGAAUGCAGCUCUAAAUGGGUGGUAAAUUUCAUCUAAAGCUAAAUAUCUGCCAAAGACCGAUAGCGCACAAGUAGAGUGAUCGAAAGAUGAAAAGAACUUUGGAAAGAGAGUUAAACAGUACGUGAAAUCGUUAAAAAGGAAGGGCUCGCAACCAGACUCGCUCGCGGGUGCUCAACCGCCCUUCGGGGCGGUGCAUUCUCCCGCGAUCGGGCCAGCAUCGGUUCUGGCGGCCGGAUAAAGGCCCUGGGAACGUAGCUCCUUUCGGGGAGUGUUACAGCCCGGGGUGCAAUGCGGCCAGCCGGGACCGAGGACCGCGCAUUCGCUAGGAUGCUGGCGUAAUGGUUGCCAGCCGCCCGUCUUGAAACACGGACCAAGGAGUCGACCACCGGGCAAGUGUUUGGGCGUUAAACCCAUGCGCGUAAUGAAAGUGAACGGAGGUGGGAGCCUUCGGGCGCACCAUCGACCGAUCCUGAUGUCUUCGGAUGGAUUUGAGUACGAGCCCCGUUGGUCGGACCCGAAAGAUGGCGAACUAUGCGUGAAUAGGGCGAAGCCAGAAGAAAUUCUGGUGGAGGCUCGCAGCGGUUCUGACGUGCAAAUCGAUCGUCAAAUUUGCGCAUAGGGGCGAAAGACUAAUCGAGCCAUCUAGUAGCUGGUUCCCGUCGAAGUUUCCCGUAAGUUGAGCUUCCACUUCGGCGCGACGCUUUUCGCUAAUUUUCUUUUUAUAGUCAGGAUAGCAGCAACGGAAACAGUCUCAUGAGGUAGAGCGAACGAUUAGAGGCAUGGGGGUUGAAACAACCUUCACCUAUUCUCGAACUUCGAAUAUGUGAGAAGUCCUUGUUACUUAGUUGAACGUGGUCAUUCGGAUGUAUCGUUGCUAGUGGGCCAUUUUUGGUAAGCAGAACUGGCGAUGCGGGAUGAACCGAACGUGAGGUUACGGUGCCGGAGUCACGCUCAUCAGAUCCCAGAAAAGGUGUUAGUUCAUCUAGACAGCCGGAACGUGGCCAUGGAAGUCGGAAACGUCUAAGGAGUGUGUAACAACUCACCGGCCGAAUGAACUAGCCCUGAAAAUGAAUGGCGCUCAAGGUUCGUUGAAUUUAAUUAUAAGCUCCCCCUAUCGUUUGAAUUAUCGCUGACUUCGAUCCAGCGUGACACCUAUACCUCGCCGCCGGGGCAAAUACUAUGCCUCGGCGAGUAGGCGGGCGUGGAGGUCCGU